rnacentral:rRNA from 1 species
UCCUAAGGUAGCGAAAUUCCUUGUCGGUUAAAUACCGACCUGCAUGAAUGGCGUAACGAGAUGGGAGCUGUCUCAAAGAGGGAUCCAGUGAAAUUGUAGUGGAGGUGAAAAUUCCUCCUACCCGCGGCAAGACGGAAAGACCCCGUGGACCUUUACUACAGCUUGACACUGCUACUUGGAUAAGAAUGUGCAGGAUAGGUGGGAGGCUUUGAGUAUAUGACGCCAGUUGUAUAUGAGCCAUUGUUGAGAUACCACUCUUUCUUAUUUGGGUAGCUAACCAGCUUGAGUUAUCCUCAAGUGGGACAAUGUCUGGUGGGUAGUUUGACUGGGGCGGUCGCCUCCCAAAUAAUAACGGAGGCUUACAAAGGU